rnacentral:misc_RNA from 1 species
CCAAUAGCGUAUAUUAAAGUUGUUGCAGUUAAAAAGCUCGUAGUUGAAUUUCGGGAUCAGUUGAUCGGUCGUGCCUCGGUACGUACUGGUCAAAUUGAUUCCUACCUUCUGACGAACCACGAUGUCAUUAAUUUGGUGUCGUGGGAAAUCAGGACUGUUACUUUGAAAAAAUUAGAGUGUUUAAAGCAGGCUCGCGCUUGAAUACAUUAGCAUGGAAUAAUGAAAUAGGACGUUUGAUUCUAUUUUGUUGGUUUCUAGGAUCGACGUAAUGAUUAAUAGGGAUAGUUGGGGGCAUUAGUAUUCAAUUGUCAGAGGUGAAAUUCUUGGAUUUAUUGAAGACUAACUACUGCGAAAGCAUUUGCCAAGGAUGUUUUCAUUAAUCAAGAACGAAAGUUAGGGGAUCGAAGACGAUCAGAUACCGUCGUAGUCUUAACCAUAAACUAUGCCGACUAGGGAUCGGAUGAUGUUAAUUUUUUAAUGACUCAUUCGGCGCCUUACG